rnacentral:rRNA from 1 species
AUUGAACGCUGGCGGCAUGCCUUACACAUGCAAGUCGAACGGCAGCACGGGAGCAAUCCUGGUGGCGAGUGGCGAACGGGUGAGUAAUAUAUCGGAACGUGCCCAGUCGUGGGGGAUAACGUAGCGAAAGCUACGCUAAUACCGCAUACGAUCUAUGGAUGAAAGCGGGGAUCGCAAGACCUCGCGCGAUUGGAGCGGCCGAUAUCAGAUUAGGUAGUUGGUGAGGUAAAGGCUCACCAAGCCGACGAUCUGUAGCUGGUCUGAGAGGACGACCAGCCACACUGGGACUGAGACACGGCCCAGACUCCUACGGGAGGCAGCAGUGGGGAAUUUUGGACAAUGGGCGCAAGCCUGAUCCAGCAAUGCCGCGUGCAGGAUGAAGGCCUUCGGGUUGUAAACUGCUUUGUACGGAACGAAACGGUGAGCUCUAAUACAGUUUGCUAAUGACGGUACCGUAAGAAUAAGCACCGGCUAACUACGUG